AUUUAUAUCCAAUGUACAUCAUGUAUAAAGGUGUCAUAGAAUGCACCUUUAUAUUUAUAUCCAAUGUACAAAAUGUAUAAAGAUGUCAUAGAAUGCAUCUUUAUAUUUAUAUCCAAUGUACACCAUGUAUAAAGGUGUCAUAGAAGGCACCUUUAUAUUUAUAUCCAAUGUACACCAUGUAUGAGGUUGUCAUAGAAUCACCUUUAUAUUUAUAUCCAAAGUACAUCAUGUAUGAAGGUGUCAUAGAAAGCAUCUUUAUAUUUAUAUUCAAUCUUUUAGGCAUGAUAGGAAGGCUAAGAAAAUAAUAAUAAAUUUUCUGAUCAAUUUCAGAAAAAUGAAUGAGGCUUAGAAAAGUUGAAAGGGCUAGGUUUACCAUUUCUUCUAUAGUUUCUUUUCAAAUAUGAAAAAAAAUUAAAAAAUUCUGACAUUGACCUUAUAUUGUUGUUUUACAUAUAUGUAUAUUUGUACAAACGAG
rnacentral:lncRNA from 1 species